CAGGUGACGACGGCACACGCGAUACCACAGCCAUCUCGAAUAAACCACAUUGUUCCCAAGGAAGCGUGGCUAGGAGGUGGAACACACUUCUCCGGCUGGAGGUAUUCGGGUGUCCUUUCAAUAUCUCUGAAGCGGUGGACUGAAGAAAUCAUCAUAGGCUAUUAUGUCCAUACUUGCAUCCGCAGGCCGCCGCCCGCCGCCCUCACGCCGCGCGCGCCCGCCGCCGCCUCCCAUCCGCCCCGCCGGAGCGGGCGCCCCGCGCGCGGCACCGGGC
rnacentral:lncRNA from 1 species